AGACAAGCGGGGACAAUUCACUAGUUAAGUGACACACCUGUUAUGAGGUUUCUUUCAAAAGACUUGUUUCUACAAAGAAAAGAAAGACUUCAUGUGAAUAAAAUUUCUCCAAAACACUUCAUAUCAUCAACCUUGGAAUCAAAAGUACUUGCACAAACAAUGUUUCUUUUCUCUAUAUUGCUGAGCAGGAGUAAUCAAGCAUAUCACUUGCAAUUUCUUUUUAAUUUGAUCAACCAUUUCAAAUAAUGGUGACAGCCGUAAUUGCAGUCGCAGUAGAGUGACCGAAAUGGGCCUAUAACAGCUUAUCAAGGCAACUUUAUGAUCAAUCUGGAGUAUGCUACUCGAAGGUCCCCGAGGCCACUGCUCGAUGUUGGGCUUGCUACUUCAAUUUCUCCCGCUUCUGUCUUCCAAAGUUAAAGAACCAAACACAUCAAGCAUUCUUCUUUCCUCUUCAUCUUCAUUUUUUUCAAAGAGAAAAAAGAAUAUUGGAAAAGCUACACAAUAUUGUUACAUAUUAGGUAUGGCUCAUAUACCAGUUUAAGGAUGCUGGAGCGGAGCGGAGUGAGCGAGUGGAGCGCAGCGCAAUGAGCGAACGGUGGAUCAUUAUAAAAUAAUAACAGAUACAGCUGCCCAUCGCUCUCGAAGACAUAGGCACAUUACCAAACCUCAUUAAAUCCUUGUAUUCUUAAUUUUUUUGGUUGUUUGUUUAUAUUCCCGUAAUUAUUGGCCUUA